rnacentral:rRNA from 1 species
CAACUUUCAGCAACGGAUCUCUUGGCUCUCGCAUCGAUGAAGAACGCAGCGAAAUGCGAUAAGUAAUGUGAAUUGCAGAAUUCAGUGAAUCAUCGAAUCUUUGAACGCACCUUGCGCCCUUUGGCUAUUCCGAAGGGCAUGCCUGUUUGAGCAUCAUA